GUGAUGAACAGAGGCCGGGGUGGACGCGGAGGACGGGGUCGCGGCGGGCCGGCGGCCCCGCCGCACCUGAUGCACGGUGUACCGCCGCUGCGGCUCAAACCGGGCCGCGGCCGCUCGCCGCGCGGUCCGGUCCGGGGGCCGCCGCGCGGCGCGGGCGCGCCGGCACCGCGGCCGCAGCCGCUGCUGGCGCCGCUGCGCCGGCCCCGACCGCUGGUACCGCCGCAGCAGCUGAUGUCCCCCGUGACACCGCGGCCGCGCUACCCACCGCGCUCCGCCGCGCCGCGACCCUUCUACGACCCACCGGCCCUGGACGACGGCGGGGCGUACUAUGAGGAAAGCGGUCAGUACUAUGAUGAAGGCGGAGAGUACUAUGAGGAGACUGGCCCGUACUAUGAGGAGAGCGGAGAGUACUAUGAGGAGGGCGGGGAGUACUAUGAAGAGACGGGCCCGUACUAUGAGGAGGGCGGAGAGUACUAUGAGGAGUCUGGCCCGUACUAUGAGGAGAGCGUCCCGUUCCACGACGGGGGUGCUCCAUUCCGCGGUAGGGGUGCUCCGAGGCGAGUCAGGGGUGCUCCCAUGAGGGCUAGGGGCUCUCCCAUGCGAGGAAGGGGUGCCCCCAUGCGGGGUCGAGGCGCUCCGAUGCGGGGCAUGGGUGCUCCGAUGCGAGGAAUGGGUGCUCCGAUGCGGGGCGCAGGCCCUCCAGUCCGCGGGAGAGGCGCCCCACUGCGGGGCAGAGGAGCAUCAGCGCGCGGCGCGGGCACCCCAGUUCGGGGCAGGGGCGCCCCGGCGCGAGGCAGGGGUCGUGGCCGUGGAGCCACUGCGGCCAGCACAACUCCCCAGUCCAAGACACCAAAGGUACUGAAGAAAACAUCCAAAACUGAAAAGGAGCGGGACGCCGGUGACCUGCUGAAGCCGUGGGUCACUCCCGAGCUGCGCGCCGAGAUCGAGAAGAAACAGAAGAUGCACGAGGCCUCGCGCGAGUCGGGCGACGCCAAGGACUUUGAGGCGUUCAAGGAGCAGCGCAACAAGGUGACCUCCAUGAUGCGAGCCGCCAAAAUGGAGUAUAUCGGCAUGCACGACGAGGAGAGCUGCGCGCCUGCCGGCUGAUCUGACCUGGUCUAUGACCUGAAGAAGCAACACUUCCAAACGGAGCUCGACGCUGAGCGGCGGCGUCAACUGACGGCUGCCACACCGGGGCUACAGAACCUAUCGGCUGCGGCGAUUCCUUCCGCUGGAAGACUGACACGGCCGGAGACCACCACCGAAGGUCAGCAAAUUGGGGCUGGUCCGUGAAGGGGGUCCGGCAACAUCGACAGUUUCGCCGUACAGGACCGUCUGACCCCCACCCUCCCUCUAGAGGCCAAGAGUAUCAUCAGCUCCGUAGAGCUCGGAAGGGGUGCUCGGGCGGCGGGCGAGGCUGCCCGAUGCCUGCCGCACUGCUGCAGUCCGCCGCCCCUCCAAGACCGGGUCUCCUCCCGUGUUUCACGGAGAGUGCAGAAGUUAAGAGAAUGAUGUUGAGGCCACAGGUGUGGUGCAGGAUGCGGCAGUUUUGAGAUCGCAGAAGAAUGGUGCAAAGAGAGACGAGAUCAUUGAGAGAAUAUGGCGCAAGGCCCACAGUGACAUCGGCGUACUGAUUAGCCCUCUGAGCUUGAUUUGCAAUACACGUCAUAACAUCAGCUUUUUCUCUUAACUUUAUAUGAAUAAGAAAUGGGCAAAUUAUGCACGGUGCAUAGGUACCCCUCUAGUCCCAAGGUGACUGUUCGCUACAUCGAUAAUCUGC
rnacentral:misc_RNA from 1 species